rnacentral:rRNA from 1 species
UACGUAGGGUGCAAGCGUUGUCCGGAAUUAUUGGGCGUAAAGAGCUCGUAGGCGGUUUGUCGCGUCGGCUGUGAAAUCCCGAGGCUCAACCCCGGGCGUGCAGUGGAUACGGGCUGGCUAGAGGCAGGCAGGGGAGAACGGAAUUCCCGGUGUAGCGGUGAAAUGCGCAGAUAUCGGGAGGAACACUCGUGGCGAAGGCGAGCUACUGGACAACAUCUGACGCUGAGGCUCGAAGGCUAGGGGAGCAAAAGGG